GUUAUUCCUACUUGUCAACUACUUUCUUCAUGAGGCAAAUUGAUGGAUAGAGUUUAGCAAAGAGGGGUUGGUUUUUGAAUAAUGGAAAACUUCCUAUAGCUAUGAAAAAAAGGUAGUGCUGAAUUUUAUUGGGAAAAUAGGAAUGAGCCAGCAUUUCUAAUUCUUUUUUUAAUAUUGAUUUUUUAGUUAUAGGUGGACACAAUAUCUGUAUUCUAUUUUUAUGUGGUGCUGAGGAUUGAAUCCAGUGCCUCACACAUGCCAGGCGAGUGCUCUACCGCUGAGCUACAACCCCAGCCCCUCUAAUUCUUAAUUUUUAUCUGUAUUAUGCUAAUAUUUUAGUGUGGCCAUGUCCUUAUUUGACCCAGUUGACCCACUGUCAGCUUCUUGGUCUCUUUAAUGUAUUACAUGAGUAAUUUGGAUACCAUUUCCAACUUAUUUUCUGAACUCUUCACUAAGCCAGUAAUAGGAAUAAGCUGUUUACUAAUUAAUACAACCCAAGGGCUAAAAAAUAUGGGAACAUACAUAGUCACAGACCAUUGAAAAGUAAGGUCAGAUGUCCACAAGGUGGGAAUCUGCACAUCUGUAAACCUGCCAGAGGGAAGCAAUCAGUGACAGAGUCGUCGUCACCAGGGCCUCUUCCUAGGCACUGGAGGACCCUGGAGUAGGC
rnacentral:lncRNA from 1 species